GGGGCUGUGGCUCAGUGGUAGAGCGCUUGCCUUGCCUAGCAUGUGUGAGGCACUGGGUUCAGUCCUCAGCACCA
rnacentral:tRNA from 1 species